rnacentral:rRNA from 1 species
CACGAAACCAGGCGAGCUACUAUGGGGCGUAUAAUGGUACACAUAUAUGUAACAUAAUAAUAGUAGACCCGAUAGUAGGGGUGAUAGGCUAUCAAGUCUGGUGAUAUCUUGUUAACUUUGAAAUGUAUUAAGUACUAUUACAGUUCGCCAGUGAUAAGGCUGGCGAAUAUUAUGUAAGGUGAUUCUCCACUGUAACAAAGUCUAAUCGCUAGUACCCGAUGAUUUUAACAUCUGUAUUUUUUUAUUAAUAUAAUCUAAAAGUUGGUAUAGAACUUUAAAAGAUAUUCAUACUGUGGGUAUUAGUAGUAUAUUUACCGCUGAUGAACUCGGCAACAUUUCUCCCACCUGUUUAUCAAAAACAUUGCCAGCAGUAGGUACCGUUGGUAAGUUCUGCUCAAUGUAUAUUAUUAAUAGCCGCAGUACCCUGACUGUGCAAAGGUAGCAUAAUCAUUUGGCUUAUAAUUGAAGUCUAGUAUGAAUGAAUUCAUGGGGGAAAACUCUAUUGGCGGUAUUAAGAACUUGCUUGGUGGGUGCAAAUACCCAUAUCUAAAUAAAAGACGAGAAGACCCUAGAAAUUUUUAUGACACGUAUAAGAAGUUUUUGUUGGGGCAACAUAGUAGCAUGGAACCUACUUUAAUAACAAGACAUUUAAUAGUAAGAUUAAAUUACUCUAGGGAUAACAGCGUAAUUCUAUGUGAGUUUGCGACCUCGAUGUUGGACUAGGGAGCGAAUACUUAGAA